AGAGUUUGAUCCUGGCUCAGAUUGAACGCUGGCGGCAGGCCUAACACAUGCAAGUCGAGCGGUAGAGAGGUGCUUGCACCUCUUGAGAGCGGCGGACGGGUGAGUAAUACCUAGGAAUCUGCCUGGUAGUGGGGGAUAACGUUCGGAAACGGACGCUAAUACCGCAUACGUCCUACGGGAGAAAGCAGGGGACCUUCGGGCCUUGCGCUAUCAGAUGAGCCUAGGUCGGAUUAGCUAGUUGGUGAGGUAAUGGCUCACCAAGGCUACGAUCCGUAACUGGUCUGAGAGGAUGAUCAGUCACACUGGAACUGAGACACGGUCCAGACUCCUACGGGAGGCAGCAGUGGGGAAUAUUGGACAAUGGGCGAAAGCCUGAUCCAGCCAUGCCGCGUGUGUGAAGAAGGUCUUCGGAUUGUAAAGCACUUUAAGUUGGGAGGAAGGGCAUUAACCUAAUACGUUAGUGUUUUGACGUUACCGACAGAAUAAGCACCGGCUAACUCUGUGCCAGCAGCCGCGGU
rnacentral:rRNA from 1 species